rnacentral:rRNA from 1 species
AACGAACGCUGGCGGCAUGCCUAACACAUGCAAGUCGAACGAGACCUUCGGGUCUAGUGGCGCACGGGUGCGUAACGCGUGGGAACCUGCCCUUAGGUUCGGAAUAACUCCCCGAAAGGGGUGCUAAUACCGGAUAAUGUCUUCGGACCAAAGAUUUAUCGCCUUUGGAUGGGCCCGCGUUGGAUUAGCUAGUUGGUAGGGUAAAAGCCUACCAAGGCGACGAUCCAUAGCUGGUCUGAGAGGAUGAUCAGCCACACUGGGACUGAGACACGGCCCAGACUCCUACGGGAGGCAUCAGUGGGGAAUAUUGGACAAUGGGCGAAAGCCUGAUCCAGCAAUGCCGCGUGAGUGAUGAAGGCCUUAGGGUUGUAAAGCUCUUUUACCCGGGAUGAUAAUGACAGUACCGGGAGAAUAAGCUCCGGCUAACUCCGUG